rnacentral:rRNA from 1 species
CCUACGGGAGACAGCAGUGAGGAAUAUUGGUCAAUGGACGCAAGUCUGAACCAGCCAAGUAGCGUGAAGGAUGACUGCCCUACGGGUUGUAAACUGCUUUUAUAAAGGAAUAAAGUGAGACACGUGUGCUUAUUUGUAAGUACUUUAUGAAUAAGGAUCGGCUAACUCCGUGCCAGCAGCCGCGGUAAUACGGAGGAUCCAAGCGUUAUCCGGAUUUAUUGGGUUUAAAGGGUGCGUAGACGGGUUGUUAAGUCAGUUGUGAAAGUUUGCGGCUUAACCCUAAAAUUGCAAUUAAUACUGGUAGUCUUGAGUACAGAUGCGGUAGGCGGAAUUCAUGGUGUAGCGGUGAAAUGCUUAGAGAUCAUAAAGAACUCCGAUUGCGAAGGCAGCUUACUAAUCUAUCUCUGACAUUGAUGCACGAAAGUGUGGGGAGCAAACAGGAUUAGAUACCCUUGUAGUC